CAAUUGUGUGAGACCUCUCAGUUGCUGUUAUGUGAGACCUCCAUUCCAGUUUUUACCUUUGACAUUGUUGACCUUAUUUGAACUCUAUUUUUAUUGGUUCUCGUGAUCAGCUGUUUCGGGGCAGAGCGCCGUUUUCAGUUUGAUAGAGCAGACAUGUUGGUUAUUCUGUCGAGUUCUUUAAAAAGGAACUUAAAUAAUGGAAUAAUUUAAUAGUUUAAUACAGUAAAGCACUCACGGGAGACAGGCGAAGAUGUGUUGUGUAUAGUAGCUAGUGUGAUCAAGUCCAUAAUUUGGUCACCGUGUUUCGGUCACCGUUUUGACUAGGAAAUGUCAUUUACUAUAUAACAGACUGUUUAGUGUCUAAGACAAUACAAAAUUGUGAUACAAUUGAUAAAUAAUAAAAAGGACAUUUCGAACCACACAAUCAACAUUGGUUAUUCUUUUAUUAAGUAGUUGAACUCGAACUGGUGUAUAGAAAAUAAGCCAUAGUUACAAUUUAGAAUGUCGGUGACUAUGUUUGAGGAAUUAAACACGUCGCAUUGAAUAUUCACAAGAAACAAUCAUACCGAUAAUAAGCAAGUGGCCAUAUUCCUUUGUUAAAAUUCGUUAUUACAAAAUUGAAGAUUUUGACAAUACAUUGCAGCUUUGAAGUAGUGAAUAUUUACUUUUAAGAAUAUUUAAGACAACAAAAAGAUGCUUAUAUGCUUAUAUAAUUUCCUGUGUAAGGGAACAGCGUGGCGUUAGCGAGGUGUUUUAUCCACUUUGUCCACGAGGGUUGGAAAUAUACACUACUGCGUGCACGUGCCAUUAAAAGGGUCAUGAAAUUGGCUUAUAUGCUUACAUAAUUUCCUGUGUAAAGGAACAGCGUGGCGGUAGCGAGGUGUUUUAUCCACUUUGUCCACGAGGGUUGGAAAUAUACACUACUGCAUGCACAUGCCAUUAAAAGGGUCAUGAAAUUGGCCUUAAUUUUUUCAAACGUUUUUAACAGAGUUUUAACAGGUCACAAUUAAAUUUCACCCAUUACUUCUUACUAUUUAAUGGGAUUUUCAUGAACAUAGUUUUAAUGCCAUACAUUAAAAAGCCAUGAAAUAAGUAUAUUAAAACCCUAGUAAAAUAUACCUUGUUAAAAUGACUUUGGUGGCCAUGAAAAGCUGCUUAAAAUAAACCAUUAAAAUAAGUUAACAGGCUCCUUAAAUUUUUUAAUUGGCAUGAAAUUAAUGUGCCAUUAAAAAUAGCCCUUCAGUCCACAUUAAAUAGUAAGAACUAAUGGGGCCAUUAAUUUUCAAUACUCUGUUAAUGGCCGUUAAUUAUCAAAAAAUUGAUUAAUGGUCUCAUAAAAUAUGCCAAUCAAUUUUAAUGGGUUCGUAAUAUUCUAAUGGUCUAUCAAAUUAAGGGCCAUGAAAAUUUGCCAUCCGAAUUAGACAUCUUAAGAUAGUCAACUUCAUAUUCAAUUUUAAUGGGUUCGUAAUAUUCUAAUGGUCUAUCAAAUUAAGGGCCAUGAAAAUUUGCCAUCAGAAUUAGACAUCUUAAGAUAGUCAACGUCAUAUUUAUAUUUGCCGUAUUGAUUAAAACUACUUAUUACUACACAUGUAAUAGUAUCUAUACAUAUGUACUGUUUUGUAAAAUGCUAGAAGAAUAUUUGUUUCUUCUUUUUUCUCUCAUUAUUUUGUAAUGUAAACACAUGUAACAGCCUCGUGCAUAUUGUCAUAUUGUAUCCUUAUUCUGUCAUAUGUUCAUAUGAAAUGAGAAAAUAAAUGGAUAUUGUAUUG